rnacentral:lncRNA from 1 species
GACGAAUGUAUUUUAAUCAAGUUUAUAACACAUCAUAAUAUAAUUUACAGGAAGAAAUACUAACAAAACAGAAUUAAAAAUACAUUUGGAGAAAUAUAUUAAACAUUUAUAAUGAAUAUGUACAAUUUAACGAAAACAGCAAGAUUCCAGGAAUGUGAUAAAUACAACAAAUAUGAUAACAGAAAAUAAGAUGGUGCAAUAGAGAAAUUUAUAUGACAUUAAAACUAAUAACAAUGAUUGAAUUGGUCAAAUUCUGAAGAAGAAGAAACAAGCAUGGCAAUACAUAGUCCACUGCCGGUUAAAAAUUUAGUGUAAUCGAACGAAUUUCUAUCUUGAUUUAUAUCUUGCCAUGGUGUAAACUACAUAAAAUAACAAACAAACCUUCAAAC